GCCUGGGUGGCUCAGUUGGUUGAGUGUCUGACUUCGACUCAGGUCAUGAUCUCAAGGUCUGUGAGUUCGAGCCCCACAUAGGGCU
rfam:Felis catus isolate Cinnamon breed Abyssinian chromosome D3, whole genome shotgun sequence.